rnacentral:rRNA from 1 species
GACGAACGCUGGCGGCGUGCUUAACACAUGCAAGUCGAACGGAAAGGCCCUGCUCUUGUGGGGUGCUCGAUUGGCGAACGGGUGAGUAUCACGUGAGUAACAUGCCCUUGUCUUUGGGAUAACUUCAGGAAAAUGGGGCUAAUACCGGAUAGGAGCUCCUGCUGCAUGGUGGGGGUUGGAAAGUUUCGGCGGUGCGGGCUGGACUCGAGGCUUAUCAGCUUGUUGGUGGGGUAGUGGCUUACCAAGGCUUUGACGGGUAGCCGGCCUGAGAGGGUGACCGGCCACAAUGGGACUGAGAUACGGAGCAGACUCCUACGGGAGGCAGCAGUGGGGAAUAUUGCACAAUGGGCGGAAGCCUGAUGCAGCAACGCCGCGUGCGGGAUGACGGCUUUCGGGUUGUAAACCGCUUUCGCAUGUGACGAAGCGUGAGUGACGGUAAUUGGUAAAGAAGCACCGGCUAACUACGUG